GGACACUUUAGAGCUACCUGUCCGCAGAGCCUCACGCACUCACAAGCUGCCUCUCGGACGUGAUUGCCUCAUGGGCGUGGUACACCUGGGUUGUCAGGAGGUGGGAUCUGGGCUGAGAGAAAUCGCCUGGUUCAGGGCCUGGAAGCCUUCAUCUCACUGCCUCCGCUCCAUGGACUCUGCUUUCUGUCUGCCAGUCCCCUCUGCCAUGCUGCGCUGCCUUCGAGCUGCUGACUAGGGACUGAAACCUCUACAAAGUGUGAGCCGAGAUAAACCUCUCCUCGGUUAACUUGUGUGUGUCCGGUAGCGUGUCUCGGUGACCAAGUCACUCCCCUCGAGGUCCUGCCCUUGACACCUGCAGGGCACGGCCUGGUCGUCUCCAUGGCAAAAGUCUUUGGCCAUUCAUACCCGUGUCCAUCCGUUGCCUCGGCCUUUCUCUUCAGCCAUAGCAAGUGUCCUAGCAGAGGUUCUUCAGCCUUAGUCAGCCCACUUUAGCUUGCUCCUUUUCUUCCUCGUAGGCACAACAGGCAUUGGGCUCUCCCAUCCCAACAGCAGCAUAUGCAUCCUUUUCAACUGGAAUACAUUUUAAAGUGAUUUUUUUAAU